rnacentral:rRNA from 1 species
AGAGUUUGAUCAUGGCUCAGGAUGAACGCUGGCGGCGUGCCUAGCACAUGCAAGUCGUGCGGUAAGGCCCCUUCGGGGGUACACGAGCGGCGGACGGCUGAGUAACGCGUGGGAACGUGCCCCAAAGUGAGGGAUAAGCCAAGGAAACUUGGUCUAAUACCGCAUAUGCUCUUAGGAGUAAAGCUUCGGCGCUUUGGGAGCGGCCCGCGUCCGAUUAGAUAGUUGGUGAGGUAAAGGCUCACCAAGUCGACGAUCGGUAGCUGGUCUGAGAGGAUGAUCAGCCAGACUGGGACUGAGACACGGCCCAGACUCCUACGGGAGGCAGCAGUGAGGAAUCUUCCACAAUGGGGGCAACCCUGAUGGAGCAACGCCGCGUGCAGGAUGAAGGCCCUCGGGUCGUAAACUGCUUUUAUAAGUGAAGAAUAUGACGGUAACUUAUGAAUAAGGAUCGGCUAACUACGUGCCAGCAGCCGCGGUCAUACGUAGGAUCCGAGCGUUAUCCGGAGUGACUGGGCGUAAAGAGUUGCGUAGGCGGUCGGUAAAGCGAAUAGUGAAACCUGGUGGCUCAACCAUACAGACUAUUAUUCGAACUCACCGACUCGAGAGUAGCAGAGGUAACUGGAAUUUCUAGUGUAGGAGUGAAAUCCGUAGAUAUUAGAAGGAACACCAAUGGCGUAGGCAGGUUACUGGGCUAUUUCUGACGCUAAGGCACGAAAGCGUGGGGAGCGAACCGGAUUAGAUACCCUAGUAGUCC